rnacentral:rRNA from 1 species
GGGAAUCUACCCGGAACUACGGAAUAACAUGAAGAAAUUUAUGCUAAUACCGUAUACGCCCUUUUGGGGAAAGAUUUAUUGGUUUCGGAUGAGCCCGCGUUGGAUUAGCUUGUUGGUAGGGUAAUGGCCUACCAAGGCGACGAUCCAUAGCUGGUCUGAGAGGAUGAUCAGCCACACUGGGACUGANACACGGCCCANACUCCUACGGGAGGCAGCAGUGGGGAAUAUUGGACAAUGGGNGCAAGCCUGAUCCAGACAUGCCGCGUGAGUGAUGAAGGCCUUAGGGUUGUAAAGCUCUUUCACCGGUGAAGAUAAUGACNGUAACCGGAGAAGAAGCCCCGGCUAACUUCNUGCCAGCAGCCGCGGUAAUACGAAGGGGGCUAGCGUUGUUCGGAUUUACUGGGCGUAAAGCGCACGCAGGCGGAUAUUUAAGUCAGAGGUGAAAUCCCGGGGCUCAACCCUGGAAUUGCCUUUGAUACUGGGUAUCUGGAGUACAGAAGANGUAAGUGGAAUUNCGAGUGUA